GCGAGUGUAGUAUAACGGCAUUAUGCAACCUUCCCAAGGUUGAGACGAGGGUUCGACUCCCUUCACUCGCU
rnacentral:tRNA from 5 species